GACGAACGCUGGCGGCGUGCUUAACACAUGCAAGUCGAACGGAAAGGCCCUGCUUGCAGGGUACUCGAGUGGCGAACGGGUGAGUAACACGUGGGUGAUCUGCCCUGCACUUCGGGAUAAGCUUGGGAAACUGGGUCUAAUACCGGAUAGGAACCAUCUUUAGUGUGGUGGUUGGAAAGUUUUUUCGGUGUAGGAUGAGCUCGCGGCCUAUCAGCUUGUUGGUGGGGUAAUGGCCUACCAAGGCGGCGACGGGUAGCCGGCCUGAGAGGGUGUACGGCCACAUUGGGACUGAGAGGCGGCACAGACUCCUACGGGAGGCAGAAGUGGGGAAGAUUGAACGAUGGGCGCAAGCCUGAUGCAGCGACGCCGCGUGGGGGAUGAAGGCCUUCGGGUUGUAAACUCCUUUCGCUAGGGACGAAGCUUUUUGUGACGGUACCUAGAUAAGAAGCACCGGCUAACUACGUG
rnacentral:rRNA from 1 species